CUUGUGCUUGAUCCCCUGGGAACUGAAGCCAGCAAGAUUAAACAGUGCUUGGAGUCCACAAGGGCAUUUAUGAGAAAAAGAGGAGUAAUUUCUUCCAGGUGGACAGCCGACACAGCUCCACACAGUCGCCAAAAAGACAGUAGUUCAUGUGGAGUAUUUGUGCUUAAAUAUGCAGAAAAAAUCCUGGCUGGGGAGUCUUUGAUGUUCGCCAACAAGGCCUCAGCGGUGAAGAUUUAUAGAAAAGAAAUUGCCAGGACACUGCUGAAUGGGAGUGGUAAAGUUGUUGAAUUAUAUACUUUUGUUUAAAAAUUUGUCUUAUAGAAUGGUCUGUCUAAAAACACAAUUUGGAUUGACAUAGGAAGGUGUCUGUUUAGAAUGUCUGUUGUCAAAAUAAAAAAUGCAUAUAAUAAAGC